UGGGGAAUAUUGGACAAUGGGCGCAAGCCUGAUCCAGCCAUGCCGCGUGAGUGACGAAGGUCUUCGGAUUGUAAAACUCUUUUGGCGGGGACGAUAAUGACGGUACCCGCAGAAUAAGCCCCGGCUAACUUCGUGCCAGCAGCCGCGGUAAUACGAAGGGGGCUAGCGUUGUUCGGAAUCACUGGGCGUAAAGCGCACGUAGGCGGAUGUGCCAGUCAGGGGUGAAAUCCCGGAGCUCAACUCCGGAACUGCCUCUGAUACUGCACGUCUUGAGUUCGAGAGAGGUGGGUGGAAUUCCUAGUGUAGAGGUGAAAUUCGUAGAUAUUAGGAAGAACACCGGUGGCGAAGGCGGCCCACUGGCUCGAUACCGACGCUGAGGUGCGAAAGCGUGGGGAGCAAACAGGAUUAGAUACCCUUGUAGUCCCUGAGCGGGCUGGCAAGGCGCAU
rnacentral:rRNA from 1 species